GCAAGUCGAACGGCAGCACGGGCUUCGGUCUGGUGGCGAGUGGCGAACGGGUGAGUAAUAUAUCGGAACAUACCCUAGAGUGGGGGAUAACGUAGCGAAAGUUACGCUAAUACCGCAUACGAACUCAGGUUGAAAGUGGGGGAUCGCAAGACCUCAUGCUCAUGGAGUGGCCGAUAUCUGAUUAGCUAGUUGGUGAGGUAAUGGCUCACCAAGGCGACGAUCAGUAGCUGGUCUGAGAGGACGACCAGCCACACUGGAACUGAGACACGGUCCAGACUCCUACGGGAGGCAGCAGUGGGGAAUUUUGGACAAUGGGGGCAACCCUGAUCCAGCAAUGCCGCGUGAGUGAAGAAGGCCUUCGGGUUGUAAAGCUCUUUUGUCAGGGAAGAAACGGUGAGUUCUAAUACAACUUGCUAAUGACGGUACCUGAAGAAUAAGCACCGGCUAACUACGUGCCAGCAGCCGCGGUAAUACGUAGGGUGCAAGCGUUAAUCGGAAUUACUGGGCGUAAAGCGUGCGCAGGCGGUUAUAUAAGUCAGAUGUGAAAUCCCCGGGCUCAACCUGGGAACUGCAUUUGAGACUGUAUGGCUAGAGUGUGUCAGAGGGGGGUAGAAUUCCACGUGUAGCAGUGAAAUGCGUAGAGAUGUGGAGGAAUACCGAUGGCGAAGGCAGCCCCCUGGGAUAACACUGACGCUCAUGCACGAAAGCGUGGGGAGCAAACAGGAUUAGAUACCCUGGUAGUCCACGCCCUAAACGAUGUCUACUAGUUGUCGGGACUUAAUUGUCUUGGUAACGCAGCUAACGCGUGAAGUAGACCGCCUGGGGAGUACGGUCGCAAGAUUAAAACUCAAAGGAAUUGACGGGGACCCGCACAAGCGGUGGAUGAUGUGGAUUAAUUCGA
rnacentral:rRNA from 1 species